rnacentral:ncRNA from 1 species
GAUACGCCGUCUGAAGAGCCAUCACCUCGCGUGAUGCACCGAAGGAGCAAACCCGUUGCAAGGUGCAACAGGUGAAUCUCUCAGGUACCAAGGACAGGGGGAGCGGC